UGUGUGAAACGUUGUAAUAGUUGAUGUAACAGCGAUAAUGUGAGUCUUAAUUAUGAGAAAAUAUCUUUAUACUCUUCGUUAAAGUACACUGGAUUAACAUCUUUUGCAGAGUACAUUCUUCCACAGAGGUUGAUGAUUAUUGAUCAUCAACUUUGAAGCCGAGGGGUAUUUAUGAGCUUUUCUCGGAGAAUUCGGAGUUAUGAACCACUGCUGCUGGAGUUUGUUUUGUUGUCUAUUCGGGUGUUCCUCUAAUCCUCUGCUGGACCCAUGUUUUCCCGAAACAGCAGUGCUGGACAAUUAAGAUUGCCAGGCAGUAACAAGAGCAGGAGAAGAAGAAGAUGAGAAAAUUUGGGAAUGGGGAGAAAGGUACAGUACAUGAUUGGUUCUUGGAAUGUGCAUUUUGAAUUUUGAUAGGGGAAUUGUUAUAUAUUCUUGACAUGAAGGUUAUGGGGCUGAAUGAACGCUAUCCAGGUCUUCCUUUAUUCUUAGGAAGAAAUAAAAAUGCAAGUUUCACUCCUAUUAUCUCUGGGGUGCAGUUCUAAGCUCUCUUCUUGGCGAGGCAAACUGUUGUCUCCUGCAGCUCGAGUAACACAGAUUCAAUCUGUGGUAGGCACUAUGGAUUCUUACAGUAUACGUUGUUUUAAGCUUCCUCAGAAAUCAAUUCACAAAUUAGAUGCUUUGCAGAUGGAUUAUUGGUGGAAUAAGCCUCGUCCUCAAAGCAUAUAUUUUACGUCAUGGAAAUCCGUUUUGUAAUCCAAAGAGAUAUGGCGGUCUAGGUUUUAGAGAUGCAAUUAAGUUUAACUUAGCCUUGUUAUCUUAAAUUGCUUUGAGAACUUGAAGAAUCUUCGACGCUUCGGGUCCUAGUUUUGAAAGCACGAUACUUCUUCAACAAAGAUCCCCUGACUGAUACUAUUAAGACCCAAAGUACAUGGGUCUAGAAAAGCAUUUUACAAGGCUUGCAACUUCUCAAACAACAUCAUAUCUGGACUGUCGCUACAGGUACGCACAUUCAGGAACAGCUGUCAAGGUUUGCUCUGGAUGCUUCACAGCCACCAGUGCAGAAGAAGCAUUAGCAUUAUGGAAGGCGGCUGAGUGGGCAACAUAAAUGUCUUUGCAUAUCAAAAGAUCAAGGAAGCCUCAGCACAAUCAAAUGGCAGAAUGAAUAAAUACUGAGAGAGACGAAGCAUAUCUUGUCUGCAGCUCCAAAUUAUACUCUUUUGGGUUUUCUGUGUAUCAAAGGAAGGGUAAUAAUAGACAAACUAGCAAAGGAAGCAAGGAAGUCCGGCGGAAUCAACACUGGAUCUCCAACCUCAAUGUCUAGCUAUACCCUAAAGUUUUUAUUGUCUGACUUGAUCUAGAUAACAGGGAUGAUGUCCGUUUCCCCUGCUGUUUCUCGAAGUCUGUGUUGUUUCCUUUUCUGUGCGGGUGUAGUGAAGUAUGAAGCUUUUGUGAAUAUGCCCGUGCCAUAAUGGCAGUUAUUUACCCCUUUCUUCCCCCGUGC